AUACUUACCUGGCUGGUGAGACACCAUGAUCAGGCAGGUGAUUUUCCCAGAGUGAGGAUCAUUCCCUGCACUCUGGGUGUGCUGACCCCUGCAAUUUCCCCAAAUGUGGAAAACACGACUGUUACAGC
rnacentral:snRNA from 1 species